rnacentral:rRNA from 1 species
GCCUAAUACAUGCAAGUCGAGCGGACGACGGGAGCUUGCUCCCUUAGGUCAGCGGCGGACGGGUGAGUAACACGUGGGUAACCUGCCUGUAAGACUGGGAUAACUCCGGGAAACCGGGGCUAAUACCGGAUGCUUGAUUGAACCGCAUGGUUCAAUCAUAAAAGGUGGCUUUUAGCUACCACUUACAGAUGGACCCGCGGCGCAUUAGCUAGUUGGUGAGGUAACGGCUCACCAAGGCGACGAUGCGUAGCCGACCUGAGAGGGUGAUCGGCCACACUGGGACUGAGACACGGCCCAGACUCCUACGGGAGGCAGCAGUAGGGAAUCUUCCGCAAUGGACGAAAGUCUGACGGAGCAACGCCGCGUGAGUGAUGAAGGUUUUCGGAUCGUAAAACUCUGUUGUUAGGGAAGAACAAGUACCGUUCGAAUAGGGCGGCACCUUGACGGUACCUAACCAGAAAGCCACGGCUAACUACGUGCCAGCAGCCGCGGUAAUACGUAGGUGGCAAGCGUUGUCCGGAAUUAUUGGGCGUAAAGCGCGCGCAGGCGGUUUCUUAAGUCUGAUGUGAAAGCCCCCGGCUCAACCGGGGAGGGUCAUUGGAAACUGGGGAACUUGAGUGCAGAAGAGGAGAGUGGAAUUCCACGUGUAGCGGUGAAAUGCGUAGAGAUGUGGAGGAACACCAGUGGCGAAGGCGACUCUCUGGUCUGUAACUGACGCUGAGGCGCGAAAGCGUGGGGAGCGAACAGGAUUAUAUACCCUGGUAGUCCACGCCGUAAACGAUGAGUGCUAAGUGUUAGAGGGUUUCCGCCCU